rnacentral:tRNA from 1 species
AGUUCAACGGUAGAAUCCCAGCCUUCCAAGCUGGUCGCGUGGGUUCGAUUCCCAUC